rnacentral:rRNA from 1 species
AGCGAGCGGAACCAACAGAUUUACUUCGGUAAUGACGUUGGGAAAGCGAGCGGCGGAUGGGUGAGUAACACGUGGGGAACCUGCCCCUAAGUCUGGGAUACUAUUUGGAAACAGGUGCUAAUACCGGAUAAUAAAGCAGAUCGCAUGAUCAGCUUUUGAAAGGCGGCGUAAGCUGUCGCUAAGGGAUGGCCCCGCGGUGCAUUAGCUAGUUGGUAAGGUAACGGCUUACCAAGGCGACGAUGCAUAGCCGAGUUGAGAGACUGAUCGGCCACAUUGGGACUGAGACACGGCCCAAACUCCUACGGGAGGCAGCAGUAGGGAAUCUUCCACAAUGGACGCAAGUCUGAUGGAGCAACGCCGCGUGAGUGAAGAAGGUUUUCGGAUCGUAAAGCUCUGUUGUUGGNGAAGAAGGAUAGAGGUAGUAACUGGCCUUUAUUUGACGGUAA